AUGGCUCUGUAUGGAUACCAGCAGAGAUCGGGUGCAUGUGCGACUACGAUCAGGAUCCGAGACAUCCGCAGGAUCCAAGGUAUGGAGAUUCGAUCUCUGUUUUAUUUUUCUAACAAUUUAUUUUUCUAUUUCAGAUAUCAGAUCGUGGGUACAUAUUCAUAUCAAAAUUUUUAUUAUAAUUUUUAGAUCUGAUUUGGUUUAUGAAUAAAUUAAAAUUAUUUUAAUUUAUUUAUUUUUGCUG
rnacentral:lncRNA from 1 species